CUACUGGCAUACCAAAUGAACAAUGCUGACAGCUGCUUUUAUGACUUUAAACUUUUAUGAAUUUCCAUUUUUACUCACCAGUAAAGAUUGCAUUGCGACUGGGCGCUGAUCUAUCAAAGUUUUUCGUCAUGUUCCCAGAUAAUGCGACGAUGAUCACAGGAUAGACUGUCAGAAUGUACCGGACAUGUUUGUCAAUCACAAAGUUCUCCAGAAUAAACCUGAGGAAAAGAUUACAGAUUGAUUGAACACUGAAAUCAUACACAAUUACAUGUCAUGAAAUGCUGUAAAGCACCUUACCAAGCAGCCACUUCCACUAGGAGGAGGGACAGUGACAGUGUUGCUGCAUCUGAUCUGUCCAUUGAACCAUUAUAACUCACUACGAUGGCCAGGUUGAUCAGUGUAGCAAUGCUUGUCCAUGUUGCGUACACAGCCAGGCCAUUCUGAACCUGCAAUAGAGGAUAUAGCUUUUAAAGUCUUUUCAAAAACAGAACAACUUAACAAAAGACCUAAAGAUUUCUGUGAUUUGAUACAAAUACAUUCAGACAUUCAUUGAUUCAUUGGCUAAUUUUAUGAGAGGAAAAAUUAUUCUAGAUACGUGCUAGCUUAUUUAGGUGACUGACUGUAAGAAUGAGUGAUAGUCCAACAAGGAAAUCUUACCAAUACUCGAAUGCACCAGAGAUCUAUGUUGUGAUACUUGUUUAACCAAGCUCCAUAUAUUUUGAGUCCAUGACAGGAGAAGAAUAUCGUCAAGUAGUUUGUGAAUGCAACCAAAGCAAGCAAGAUCAGCGCUCCAAUCAUCACCCUCAAAAGCCAGGCAAUGUUAAUCAGAAUGUUCACAGUCCAGGAGAUGAAGAAGCCAUAAGGCAGCACGGCAGGGCUGCAGUACAUCUGGCCAUAUGCGUUCCUUUAAAAAAAAAAAUCACAGUAUUUUACUGCAAAGAACCAAAGAUAAUCCCUGCAGUCUCUUAACAACAUGUUCCAAGCCAAUAAUUACCUUCUGAAUAUGGUCGAGACAAUGUAGAUAAGCAGAGCAGUUAGCCAGAAAUAGAUAACACCCCAGAUAGAGAAGGUCCAUCCGGACGGAGUGAUCUGUGUGUUGUACUGGUCAGAGAUAUUUGCAGUCUUUCUCAGAAAAGGACCUGAAAGGGAACAAACAUGAUAAGUGUGCUCUCUCUUUAUUUUAUAUAAAUAUUAAAUAUUAAAAAUAUGAAUA
rnacentral:lncRNA from 1 species